rnacentral:rRNA from 1 species
UACGGGGGGAGCAAGCGUUGUUCGGAUUUACUGGGCGUAAAGGGCGCGUAGGCGGCCACCGCAAGUCAAUUGUGAAAUCUCCGGGCUUAACUCGGAAAGGUCAACUGAUACUGCGGGGCUAGAGUGCGGAAGGGGCAACUGGAAUUCUUGGUGUAGCGGUGAAAUGCGUAGAUAUCAAGAGGAACACCUGAGGUGAAGACGGGUUGCUGGGCCAACACUGACGCUGAGGCGCGAAAGCCAGGGGAGCAAACGGG